rnacentral:tRNA from 1 species
CCUGGUGGCUCAGAUGGUAAAGCGUCUGCCUGCAAUGCAGGAGACCCUGGUUUGAUCCCUGGGUCAGGA